UACGGGGGGGGCAAGCGUUGUUCGGAAUUACUGGGCGUAAAGGGCUCGUAGGUGGCCAACUAAGUCAGACGUGAAAUCCCUCAGCUUAACUGGGGAACUGCGUCUGAUACUGGAUGGCUUGAGUUUGGGAGAGGGAUGCGGAAUUCCAGGUGUAGCGGUGAAAUGCGUAGAUAUCUGGAGGAACACCGGUGGCGAAGGCGGCAUCAUGGACCAACACUGACACUGAGGAGCGAAAGCCAGGGGAGCAAACGGG
rnacentral:rRNA from 1 species